UAAUUCUUUUUUUCCUGUUAUUUGCAUGAAAGCUGGAUUCAGGAGUUUUCAUUUCCUUCAUUCCCUUUUUCAUUCCCCUGUUGGCUGGGGAYCUCUGGAGACUGGUGGACUGCCGACUUCUCCUGGCUUGGGGGCUGCUCACUCUGCAACUUUUCCUUCCUUCGUGUUUCUGGAACGCUGCUCUUACAAGAGGGCAUUGCUACAUGUUGAGUUUGUCAGAGAUGCAAAGGGGACUAUCCCAGCUCAUCAGGGCAAGCACUGGGCUAGGUCUCCGGUUGUGCUUUUGUGGAGAGGAGCAUCAAGGCAACAAAGGUAAAACAGGAAUGUGUUAUAUUGAGGGGAGGGAGAUCCUGGUUUCUUUGAAUCAUUCAUUUGCACUGUUAUCCUCUAUUAAUAGCUACUGGGACACUGAUCCAAAGAUGGAUUUUUCUAGCCUAGCUUGGGUUGGGACCCUUGAAAGAAAUGGGCAUGAAACAGGAUGAAGAUGCUGCUCUUCCACCUGCCUCCCAGAGUAAACCAGG
rnacentral:lncRNA from 1 species